GGCGCGAAAACUUUACAAUGCUGGCAACAGCGAUAAGGGAACCUCGAGUGCCAGGUUACAAAUCUGGCUGUCGAGAUGCCUAAAAAGCAUUUCAUAGCAAGGGCCGGGCAAGACCGGUGCCAGCCGCCGCGGUAACACCGGCGGCUCGAGUGGUAACCGUUAUUAUUGGGUCUAAAGGGUCUGUAGCCGGCCUGAUAAGUCUCUUGAGAAAUCUGGCAGCUUAACUGUCAGGCUUUCAGGAGAUACUGUCUGGCUCGAGGCCGGGAGAGGUGAGAGGUACUUCAGGGGUAGGGGUGAAAUCUUGUAAUCCUUGAAGGACCACCAGUGGCGAAGGCGUCUCACCAGAACGGACCUGACGGCAAGGGACGAAAGCUAGGGGCACGAACCGGAUUAGAUACCCGUGUAGUCC
rnacentral:rRNA from 1 species